CCCAGACUCCUACGGGAGGCAGCAGUGGGGGAUAUUGCACAAUGGGGGAAACCCUGAUGCAGCGACGCCGCGUGGGUGAAGAAGCGCCUCGGCGCGUAAAGCCCUGUCAGCAGGGAAGAAAAUGACGGUACCUGAAGAAGAAGCCCCGGCUAACUACGUGCCAGCAGCCGCGGUAAUACGUAGGGGGCAAGCGUUAUCCGGAUUUACUGGGUGUAAAGGGAGCGCAGACGGCAGUGCAAGUCUGGAGUGAAAGCCCGUGGCUUAACUACGGGACUGCUCUGGAAACUGUGCAGCUAGAGUGCAGGAGAGGCAGGCGGAAUUCCUAGUGUAGCGGUGAAAUGCGUAGAUAUUAGGAGGAACACCGGUGGCGAAGGCGGCCUGCUGGACUGUAACUGACGUUGAGGCUCGAAAGCGUGGGGAGCAAACAGGAUUAGAUACCCCUGUACG
rnacentral:rRNA from 1 species